GAGACCGAGCCUGAAAAUGCGAAGCAGAGAGGCAGGAUCAAAAUUGAGACGAAUCCGGGAACCUGCCAAUGGGUCUCCGGAUGCGUUCUCUGAAACUGGAGGAUAUCGGGAGGAAAGGCUCUCCGAUGCGGAGAUAAUGCGGAAACUCUUGGCAUGGUUGGCUGUAGGUACCUGAUACGGGAGGAGCGGGAGUCAAACAGGAUACGCCGACUUUUAAUUCGAGGAACCCUUUUCUGAAACACUGCCACAAUGAAGGACAUAAGGAGUCAUGCUCAGAGAUGUCAGGAAAAGAUACAUGGGUCUUGGAAGAUAAUUACUCAAAAUAUGCAGGGGAAGGAAUAAAAUUGAAGGGUGUUUUUCUUAGAGAACAUCAUUUGUCAUAUUUAUUUGAUCAAGAAGUUGAAGAUUUAUGUAAUAAGGUAUGGGACUUACACAUUUAUUUUGAUAAAAGAACACAAAAAAGGUCAGGUAUGAGUAGAAAAUUCACAUUUAUUGAGUCUAAUGUGGAUACUGUACUCUGAAUUAAAAUUUUCUUUUUGUUACUCUUCCAGCUUUUAAAGAUAAUAAGUAUUAUUUCAAAAUAGUAUUUUUUAAAUUAAUAGAUUCAAUUCAGGAAAGGCAUUGGAGGGGGUGGAGCUUUUAACUUUGACAGUCUCACUCUGUUGCCCAGGCUGGAGUGCAGUGGCACAAUCUCUGCUCACUGCAAUCUCUGCCUCCUGGGUUUAAACAGUUAUUGUGGCUCAGCUUCCGAAGUGGCUGGGAUUAGAGGCGCAUGCCACCAUGCCCAGCUAAUUUUUUUUAUUAAAUAGAGACCAGGUUUUGCCAUGUUGGCCAGACUGGUCUCAAACUUCCAGCCUCAAGUGAUCCGCCUACCUUGGCCUCCCAGAGUGCUGGGAUUAUAGUCAUGAGCCACUGCACCUGGCUGUUGGUUAUCUUUUCUUAGAAAUAAUGAUGUAAUCUUUUCAGCACCUGAAUUCUUAAAGAUCCAGGGUUUACAAAUGACUCUUAGAUAUGUCAAGGAUGACUAUCCUAUAACUUAAGGAAGUCAGGAACAGUAGAAAAGAAGGUGAUAGGAAACUAGGAAUCUUAAAACUAGUUCUGUCAUUAAUUAGGCUUGUUAUUGUGGGUAUUUCUCAAAUUUAAGAAAUAUGAGGGGUCUUGAAAAAGUUCAUGGAAAAUGCAUAUCAUGAAAAAACUGCAUGGAUUUCAAAAUUUUUGGACCAAAAUAAACUCCUACUAACUUGUUAUAACAUGUUUGAACAGGAUCUAGUUUGAAGCACUAAGAAGAAUAAGACAUCAGUUUGAGAAGAGGCUCUAUCAGAGCAACACGAAUUCUGCUAAAAUUGAAGGAAGAACAAACAUCAAAUAUAUGUUGACACUUGGGUGGAAGAAUGGUGAGCUAAUUGAUGCUUUAUGAAAAAUUUAUGGGGACAAUGCUCCAAAGAAAUCAGUUUACAAAUGGAUAACUCGUUUUAAGAAGGGAUAAGGUAAUGUUGAAGAAGAAGCCCACAGUGGCAGAUCAUCCACAUCAGUUUGUGAGAAAAAAAUUAGUUCAUGGCAUAAUUGAAGAAAACCAACAAUUAACAGCAGAGAUGACAGCCAACACCAUAGACAUCUCAGUUGGUUCACCUUACACAAUUUUGACUGGAAAAGUUCAGCAAACUUUAUACCCGAUAGGUACCAAAACCACUGCACCCAGAUCAGCUACAGACAAGAACAGAACUUUCAAUGGAAAUUUUAAAUAAGUGGGAUCAGGAUCGUGAAGCCUUUCAUUGAAAAAUUGUAACAGGAGAUGAAACAUGGUUUUACCAGCGCAAUCCUGAAGACAAAACACAAAGCAAUGUUACCAAGAUAAGAAGUAGUUCAGUCAAAGCACAAGUGGACUGGUUGAGAACAAAGGUCAUGGCAACAGCUUUUGAAUGCUCAAGGCAUUUUGCUUGUUGACUUUCUGUAGGGCCAAAGAAUGGUAACAUGUGCUUAUCAUGGGAGUAUUUUGAGACACUGAGCCAAAGCUUUAGCAGAAAAAUGCCUGAGAAAGAUCAGAGAGUUCUUCACCACAACAAUGUUCCUACUCAUCCCUCUCAUCAAACAAGGGCAAUUUUGCAAGAGUUUUGAUGGGAAAUCACUAGGUAUCCACCCUACAGUCCUGGUUUGGCUCCUCCUGACUUUUUGUUUCCUAAUCUUAAAAAUUUUUUUAAGGGAAGUACAUUUUUCUAAAGUUAAUGUAAAAACACUGCAUUGAUGUGGGUAAAUUCCCAGAACUCUCAGUUCUUUAGGGAUGGACUAAAUUUUAUAGCUGGUAUCAUCACUUACAAAAGUGUCUUGAACCCUAUAGAGCUAAUGUUCAGAAAUAUCGUUUAUAUUUUUAUCUUUUAAUUCCAUUUUUCUACAAACUUUUUGAAGUCUCCUUGAAUAUGCACCCUUUAUAAAAGGGAAAAAUUCUGUGACUAAUGUUGACUUAAUGCUGACUUAAUUUUCUAUUUUGUAAAUAUAUACAAACGUAAAAGUUGAUACAAAUUUUGUUCAUAGCCCUUAACAAACAAGUUUGUGAAAUAAAUGCAUUCAGAAACAAACUAAAACAUUAAUGAAAUGGAUGCUACUGUUUUACUGAGGUGUAAACAUAAUACUGGCUGCUAUGGAAAAGUUACAUAAACAGUCAUGUGCCUUGUGA